rnacentral:rRNA from 1 species
AGUAACACGUAAACAACCUGCCUUCAGGAUGGGGACGACAGACGGAAACGACUGCUAAUACCGAAUACGUUCCACGGGCCGCAUGACCUGUGGAAGAAAGGGUAGCCUCUACCUGUAAGCUAUCGCCUGAAGAGGGGUUUGCGUCUGAUUAGGCAGUUGGUGGGGUAACGGCCCACCAAACCAACGAUCAGUAGCCGGUCUGAGAGGAUGAACGGCCACACUGGAACUGAGACACGGUCCAG